UCGAAUAAACAAAACAGAUUAAUAACAUGUGACGAAACAAGUGGUGUGCCAGUAAGUGACUUAGAUUACAGUUAUCAUUAUCAUAGAGUUAUGGCUGUGGCGGUGAGAAUAUUCAUGCCGUUAGAGAAGAAGAAACAUAUUCGGUUUAGGAAGAUGAGAAAAUAAAUCAGUGGAGAGUGGGCAGACAUGUAGUUGAGCUUGGGGGUCCUUGCGGAUGGUCUAAGCAGUUGUCAGUUAUGCGGACAGCCACUGCAAUUGUUAAAUUGUGUAGUGGAAAACAAAAUGCGGCCUUGCACAUGUGGCCCUACUACUUGUCAAGUGCAAAUUUACAGACUGUGGGCUAGUACUGAAGUGGCAACAGGAAGCAAACACCAGACUUCAAAUGGCAGAAAUGCAUGGGAUGUAAAUACCAAACUAGCAGCAGGAAUAAUAAAUGGAGGAUUUGCCGAUUUGGUGAAACACAUGUAAAUUCACUUCUGGCUGCUUGAAACAUACCAAGCGUUUCUCAGAUAACUCUGAAGAAUAGAGGAAGAGAGGUCGGGAAACAAUUUGGACAAAUGGCAGGGGAAACUUGUAAUGAAAGUCUGCAGGAGGAGAUGAGAUUGAGUGAAGGGAGUCUGGCGAUUAUAUCUGAUGGUGCUUGGCAGAAGCGGGAAACCGGGAGAGCUUAUAAUAGUUUUACAGGUAAAUGUACCAAGUAUCAAAACCUAUACAUUGUAG